CAGGUCGCUUGAUGUCGACGGUGGGGCUCUGGCCGGUUUGGGGAUUCUAAAAAGUCCGUCCAGGGGUGUUGCUUUCGCCUGUUUUUGUGGUAGGAGAUCCCCCAUCAUUCUCCGCACCAGGUGUGGCAGCUCCGCUUCAGGGACAGCAUCAGGUACCCCCCGGAGCUUCAAAUUAUUCCUCCGCCGUAGGUCUUCUAGAUUUGCAAAGCGGCAUUCGUGGGUCUGGUUCUGCCGCUGGAGGUCUUACACCGCUUUCUCCAGCACCUGUAUACGCUGAGAGUCCUGGUGAGUGGUGGUUUCCAGCCUGUCAAUUCGGCCUGUCAGUCCCUGCAGCCCUCCCCUGAUUGUGGCAAUGUCAGCCUGCAGGGUGGUCUGUAGGUCAGCAAGGAGACCCUUGAGCGCCGAUAGUGUGACCGGGGAUGUGUCCGGUUUUGUCGGUGGGGGUUUAGCCGGCGUGAGUUCAGGCGUCUCUUCCUCUUCGGAGGCCAGGUCGUCCGAAAAAUCGAAGCAACCGCCCGACAGGUCGGCCAUCUUGGGCCCGGCCGCGCCAUGUGCUAGGCGCCACAUUUCUCCGAUAUUCAUCCCAAGGUGGGGUUGAUCCUGCUUGGGUUUUUUGGUUUUGCGUCCCAUAGUCGUUAGGUGUGUGGGUCCGACGUCCGGGGGCUCGUUAUGGCCGGGGGUGACCCUGAAAAUUGCGAUUUUGUCCGCUUUUGGAUCGGAGCUGCAGUGUCGUGCGACUUCUCUCUCUGGUGGCUAGG